UCUGUGAUGGUGCUGCCAACUGCCUUGAGAAUGCACUGGCCAGUCAACAAACUAGUUAAAACAGCCAAAGCCACUGCCUCAAAUGCCUUGCAACGCCGAACCAGGAAGCAACAAAUAUCCCUUCUGAAGUGGGUAACAGGGCCCCACUGAAAAAGCGUGUUAGUGACAAUUUUGUGUUGCUGGAUUUGGGCAGCAUUUCAGCAACUUAACAAGAGGAGGAGUGGGAGGUGGUGCAGUCUCUGUGGGCAGCCUGCUGUCGGUGGGAAUAAAGCAGAGCAGAUGCAACCCUUGUAUGCAGCCGAUCACAUUUCCUGGCAGGCUGAGUAUAAGCACCAUGAGGAUAUUUGCUAGCCUCAAGACACUGCUGUUGUCCUGAUGCCUAUUCAGACCCUAGCAGAAGUUCUGCACAGCAGGAGUCACCAAACACCAAGUGAGCAAAGUCCAUAAACAGUUGCACAGCGUGGGAAACCCUUACUGAAAAGUUAAGAGAAGAGCUGUGAACAUCUGGCAUCACAGGCAGCACUAUGAAUGCUCAGUAUUUGUAUUGCAUAUAUGCACAGCAGUGAUUGCUUAACAGAUUGCUCCACAGCCUCCUGCCAAGUAAACACCCAGCAGCAGUAAAGGACUUCUGUCGGAGCUUUCCAGGAUAACAGUCCCUAUGCCAUGGAGCAUUGCUGUGGCAGCUUUUCAUCCAGUCACCCUCCUCUCCUGCAUAUUGGAGGAGCUCCUCUACUCUUCAGGUAAUGCAGAGCACUAAUCACGAGUCACACCUUCCUCCCUCCGGACGAACCAUCUCUGCAAGAAGAGGCCCCAUCAUCUGACAAACGGCACACUUGCUCUUUCCUCCAAGCUCUUACCAGUGACUCAGCCUGAUGUCAGAGGGCAAAUGCUUUCCCGAUGAGAUUUAAAACUGAAGUCCCAACCUGCUGUGAUAAUUAAAGAUCUUCAAGUGCUUUUUGUAAGUGCAGGUUUGUGUCCUGGCGAAACUACACUAAGAUAAUGGCAUUGUACUGCCUCUCCAGCUCGAACAGGACAGAGUUUCCAUUCCAGGCAUAGUUUCAAUUGUCCACCUUUUCUUUCUGUACCGCUGGGCCAAAUGGCAUCAGCAUGUUCAGCUUUAAAUAACACAGCAUUUCGCCUCAAAGGCAGCUAAAUUUAAAGCCACCUCAUGCUGUUCCCAUUUCAUGUCUUCUUUAUUAAUUAAGACACCUUCUACUGGUUACUCAGCCCAGAUACAGAAGGGUUAGGUUUGGCACUGUGAUGAUCUAAAGCUGUGUGGUCUGUGGGAAGCUCAAGCCAGCCUCCAAAUUUCAGGUGACCAGGAAAAAAGACAAUUUUGUGUUCAUAAUCAACCAGGAAAUUGUGUUGCAAUGCCUAUAUUAACAUAUCUUGGAAGGCUGCAGAGGCAAAAGUAAAUGCCAGAAUAAGGCCAUUUACUCACCGCUAACUUCCUGCCAACAGCCUCACACUAUUCUGGCAAGCAGUACAAAAUGGAAUUUAAUCUCACGGUCAUAUACUGGAGACCUGCACAGGAUCCCAGCAGUGUGACAAGCAGGAUGGAGGUCUGGAGGACUAGUACACAGGCACACUGAUAACAACACGGGCAUCUCCCCAUAGCGGGCUCCACCGUCUCUGUCAGCCAACUGCAAGAUGCCAGACUGUUGGUCUCCAACUUGUUCUGCACUACAGGGAUGCCUGGACUCUGAGUUUCUGUCUAAUUUCUAACAAUAUUAAAUCAUGGAGCAUCUCAAAGCACAAGACAAUACAAGACAUAUCCAGAGCCUGCCCGAUACAAGAAGCAGGGUCUCCCUGUAUGAACUGCAGAGGAAAACACCAUUGACAUCCAUGCAGGCGAUGGACCCGAGAGACCGACUUGUAGCAAGCAGAAGGCAGCUCAGACCCACUCCUAAAGCUGGUGCUCAGGACCUCUUCUAGCAGACCUUAGAGGAUUAAGAUAUUGCAGAGCUAUGAAAGCAAUAGCCCUUUCUGCUGGAACCCCAUGGGCCAUGUUGGGGUACAUAGGCAGGUACAGGCUCUCUUGGUUGCCCCAGUAACAAUUAAAAACUGCAAACAAUCACCAGUGCAUGGCCACUCAUAUGUAAAGAAGGAUAUUGUCUCUUAGCAGUGUUUGCCAGUCUAAAGCUGCAAGGCUGGUCUCACCUUAGCUGGCAAAAAUGAAGCAGCAACUUGCUAAGCAGUUUGGUGCCAGAUGAAACAAAUCUAGGAAAUGUGCCCUUUCAAUGUCACCUUUCUUCUCUUUGUUGACUACUCUUACUAUGCUGUCUCAUGAAGCCCAAACAAAAAGAUGAAUCACAAGAAGAAAACAGAAGGAAACACAGAAUUACUCUGUUUGAUCCUACUCUCCCCAUCCCACAGAAUUACUUAAUUUGCCAGUAGUCUGGAGAGCACUGAGCCAAAAAUCUCUGAAGGAAAUUAUCAGAGCAGCCUGCCAUACAAAACACAUGGCUCAUAUGUCAAAACAUUGCAGGGUGAUGCAAGGCUUACGAACGAGGGAGCAGUGCUGCUGCUUGUGCAAAAGCCUCUCCAGACCACCUUGUGUAAACAAAGCCAGCAAGGCGUUUCAAAGGCAAACAUGCCCUCACUCACCCCAUGUGGGAUACAGGUAUUUUCCACUGAAGCUCGGUCUAUGGGAGCUUCUCUUACCCAGUGAGAGAGCCCAAAUGGUGCAGAAUGUGCUCUAACUUUGAGAUGCGGAAUUUCUUUCAUCUUGUCUCAAGAAACAUUGCUUUCUGAUUUAUGUCCCAUAUAUUAAAUAAUUUACAAACAGGAGACCUGCUGGGCUGGCUGGCAUUCUUAGUUUUUGUGCCAGGCACAUAGCAUAGAUUGUUUGAGUUCCUUUUCUUCUUUUUAAUGUUCCGGAAAGAAAGGUUUUUGGAUUCAGUUAAAGAAGUUUUGCUAUUUCCUGCUUGUGCUUUCAUUUGUUUGGGGUAUUUGUUUUUUUGUUGUUUUUUCUCUUCUAAUUAGGGUAACACAGUUUAUAUUGCCUUUAAUCACAGCAUACGCACUCUGUAAUUACUCUGUAAAUACAUGCAUAUGAAUUGUUUAUAUGUGUGGAGGUGGGAGAGCAAGAAAGUGGAUGUAAUUAUGCGUAUAGGGAAAUGUAAUGAUUAAUUAUCUGGAGUACAUAAUCUUACCA